rnacentral:rRNA from 1 species
GAUGAACGCUAGCGAUAGGCUUAACACAUGCAAGUCGAGGGGCAGCAUUAUUUUAGCUUGCUAAGAUAGAUGGCGACCGGCGCACGGGUGCGUAACGCGUAUGCAACCUGCCUGUAAUUAGGGAAUAACCCGGUGAAAGUCGGACUAAUACCCUAUAUUCUUCUCUCUCCGCAUGGAGGAGGACGGAAAGAUUUAUUGAUUACAGAUGGGCAUGCGUCCCAUUAGCUAGUUGGUAAGGUAACGGCUUACCAAGGCAACGAUGGGUAGGGGGACUGAGAGGUUGACCCCACACACUGGUACUGAGACACGGACCAGACUCCUACGGGAGGCAGCAGUGAGGAAUAUUGGUCAAUGGGCGAGAGCCUGAACCAGCCAAGUCGCGUGAAGGACGACGGUUCUAUGGAUUGUAAACUCCUUUUGUUGAGGAAUAACGGCAGCUACGUGUAGCUGAGAUGCAUGUACUCUACGAAUAAG